rnacentral:rRNA from 1 species
AACGAACGCUGGCGGCAUGCCUAACACAUGCAAGUCGAACGAGACCUUCGGGUCUAGUGGCGCACGGGUGCGUAACGCGUGGGAACCUGCCCUUAGGUUCGGAAUAACUCCCCGAAAGGGGUGCUAAUACCGGAUAAUGUCUUCGGACCAAAGAUUUAUCGCCUUUGGAUGGGCCCGCGUUGGAUUAGCUAGUUGGUAGGGUAAAAGCCUACCAAGGCGACGAUCCAUAGCUAGUCUGAGAGGAUGAUCAGCCACACUGGGACUGAGACACGGCCCAGACUCCUACGGGAGGCAGCAGUGGGGAAUAUUGAACGAUGGGCGAAAGCCUGAUGCAGCAAUGCCGCGUGAGUGAUGAAGGCCUUAGGGUAGUAAAGCUCUUUUACCCGGGAUGAUAAUGACAGUACCGGGAGAAUAAGCUCCGGCUAACUCCGUG